GGGGUUGUUGCUCAGUGGUAGAGCAUCUGCUUUCCAUGCAGAAGGUCCCUGGUUCAAACCCAGACAUCACCA